rnacentral:lncRNA from 1 species
AUGUAUUACCUGAAAGCAGAGAGCAGUUGUUGCAUUGGAUCAUUCAGAGAGUAUGCAGCCACAACCAUGCCUUAGAUGUGUGUAAUUCAAGUGGAGAAGACACAAGCCAGUGGUUGCAAUAUCAUCAACACUUGAGUGUUCUGUAAUCGAUUAAUGUUUGCCAUGUGCAAGGAAAAGGCAGAGGCAAAAUGGCGUCGGCUUAUGGAAAAAUAAUUUACAAAAAAAAUGAUGGGAUAGUUCUGCCAAAUUUGAGAUUGGUGUCAGCAGAAAACCAACAACGAUGUGGUGGCACACAGUGAACUGACCAGACCCAGGCAGCAGUGGCUCUUUUGGUGGCAAUGGUGCCAAGUCACAGGUACUCUCCUUGCUAAUGGCAGAUACCAACAGGCAGACUAUUGCCUGCGUUUAGCUCUGUUAACCAUUGACAGUGAGAUUUAUCAGAGGUUGCAGCCGCACAUGGCCAUGAGGUAAACCCUGCCCCGGGUGGAAUUGAGUUUCAUUAGCUUCUACAUGGGAUUGUAAGGACUUGGAACAUAUCACCAACCCAGCAGGGUUCCCCCACCCUCCUGUUUUUAAAGAUUCAUUUUUCUUCCUAAAGGUAACAUGCUUGAACAAAGUUCUUUAUGGUUAGUAACUGUGAUGCUUGAAGUUGGUUAUCCCUUAUUCUAGUAAAUUUUAAAUGUCAAAGAUAUCUUGUUAAAUAAAAAAUAAAGUAUC